rnacentral:rRNA from 1 species
UGAGUUUGAUCCUGGCUCAGAGUGAACGCUAGUAGUUGGCUUUACACAUGCAAGUUAAAUAUUUUUGAAAUAUAGCGUACGGGUGAGUAAAACAUAAGAAAUUUGCCUUUAAGUUUGGGUUUAAAUACCAAAUUGAAAAAAAUAAAAUUUUGCUUAAAGAAACGCUUUUGUAAGAUUAGAUUGUUGGUAAGGUAAAAGCUUACCAAGUCGUUGAUCUUUAGUUGAUUUGAGAGAAUGACCAACCACACUGGGACUGAGACAAGGCCCAGGCUAUUUGCCAGCAGUGAGGAAUAUUGGACAAUGGGCUAACGCUUGAUCCAGCUAGACUACGUGAGGGAUGAAUACUUAUUCGGUUGUAAACCUCUUUUAUUAAAAAAAAUGAUGAUUUAUUUAAAAAAAAAGUCCUGACUAACAUUCGUGCCAGCAGUCGCGGUAAUACGGAGAGGGCAAGCGUUAUUCAUCUUAAUUGGGUGUAAAGGGUUCGUAGGUUGCUUUUAGGUCGUUUAAGUUUAAAAACUAAAGCUCAACUUUUCUCAAGAAUUUAAAAACACUUAUAGCUGGAGUAUAAAAGAAGAACAGGGAAUUUUAAAGGUAAAGAUAAAAUUUAAAAAUCUUUAAAGGAAUAUCUGGUGCGAAGGCGCUGUUCUAUUUUAUUUUUAUAACUGACACUGAGGGACGAAAGAAUAGGGAGCAAACAGGAUUAGAUACCCUGGUAGUCUAUUCUGUAAACAAUGAGUGCUCGCUUUUAGAAAGAUUUAGAAGCUAUGUUAACACGUUAAGCACUCCACCUGAGGAGUACUAUUGCAAGAUUGGAACUCAAAGGAAUUGACGGGGGCCUAUACAAGUGGUGGAGCAUGUGGUUUAAUGCGAUAAUACGCGCGAAAUCUUACCAGUUUUUGUCGUUCAUUAAUAAAAUUAUGAAACAGGUGUUGCAUGGCUGUCGUCAGCUCGUGUUGUGAAAUGUUUGGUUAAGUCCCUUAACGAGCGCAACCCUCAUUUUUAGUUGCUAAUUAUAGCAUCAAUACUAAAAUCAUUAGUAUUUCUAUAAAGAACUCUAAAAA